rnacentral:rRNA from 1 species
AACGAACGCUGGCGGCAUGCCUAACACAUGCAAGUCGAACGAGACCUUCGGGUCUAGUGGCGCACGGGUGCGUAACGCGUGGGAACCUGCCCUUAGGUUCGGAAUAACUCCCCGAAAGGGGUGCUAAUACCGGAUAAUGUCUUCGGACCAAAGAUUUAUCGCCUUUGGAUGGGCCCGCGUUGGAUUAGCUAGUUGGUAGGGUAAAAGCCUACCAAGGCGACGAUCCAUAGCUGGUCUGAGAGGAUGAUCAGCCACACUGGGACUGAGACACGGCCCAGACUCCUACGGGGGGCAGCAGUGGGGAAUAUUGGACAAUGGGCGAAAGCCUGAUCCAGCAAUGCCGCGUGAGUGAUGAAGGCCUUAGGGUUGUAAAGCUCUUUUACCCGGGAUGAUAAUGACAGUACCGGGAGAAUAAGCUCCGGUUAACUCCGUG